rnacentral:tRNA from 2 species
GCGGUUGUAGUCUAGCCUGGUCUAGGACCCUGGCCUUCCAAGCCAGUUACCCGGGUUCAAAUCCCGGCAGCCGCACCA